UACAGGGGGGGCAAGCGUUGUUCGGAAUUACUGGGCGUAAAGGGUUCGUAGGUGGCCAACUUAGUCAGACGUGAAAUCCCUCAGCUUAACUGGGGAACUGCGUCUGAUACUGGAUGGCUUGAGUGCAGGAGAGGAACGCGGAAUUCCAGGUGUAGCGGUGAAAUGCGUAGAGAUCGGGAGGAACACCAGUGGCGAAGGCGGCUACCUGGACCAGCACUGACACUGAGGCACGAAAGCGUGGGGAGCAAACAGG
rnacentral:rRNA from 1 species